AGAACUCUGCUGCUCACCAAGCUGGAAGGAAGAAGUGGAACCUGGAACAGAAUUCUUCCUUAUGAGAGCUGAGAAGGGCAGCCCCUCCUGACUGAGAACUCAGGCUGUGACUCUGGCUCCCACUCCCAGAGCUUCUGAGAAGAUGGCUUGAUAGCCUGUUUGGAGUUCCUCUGCUAUCCGACCAGGUAGGGGCAGAGUAAAUAUUUUAAGGAAGAACUCCUUUCCAGACAUUCUCUUGGCCUCUAAACAGUGAUUCUUUUCACUUCUUUAUGACUGGACCACUCCAGGUUCCCAGUAGCCAGUAUGCAUAGAAGCCCAUCACGGGGAAACUCGAUAAUUUGUUGACCUGCCUGUGUGAUUUUUCUCAUGCUGUCUGUAGCAAUUAUAUUGGCUUCUUCAUUUGUCUAUAUUCCAUAUCUGAUUCACAAACAAAUUUUGACUCAACCUUGAAAAACAUAUCUAAAACAUAUUUCUUCUUGAAAGAAAAACCCGUUUCUCCUAUAAUUGGAAUGCCAGAGUGGUUUGCUUCCUGUCACUUACAGAUUCCAACGAGACGGGAAUUUAAUCUUUAAAAUUGUGUUUUAUGGGGUUCAAGAGGAGACUCAGCUGCUAAGAGCACCUUCUGGGUUUGCUGAGGACUGGAAUUAGUUCUCAGCACCCACAUUGGGUGGCUCACAACUACCUAUAACUAUGGUUCCAGGGUCUCUGACUCCUUCUUCUGGUCCCAAUGGAUAUUGCAUAUGUGGGCACAGAACCCUCCACCCCCUCCCCACAUAUACAUACACAUAAAUUUUUUUAAAAAUGCUUUAAAACUGUGCUAAUUAUUCAGAGAGCUGACAAUCUGAGAAGAUAGUGGAUUAACACCCU
ensembl:processed_transcript E230016K23Rik RIKEN cDNA E230016K23 gene